rnacentral:lncRNA from 1 species
CGAUCCAAACCUAGUUUUACAAUUGGAAAUGACCCAGGAACGAUAUCGAACCCAGGACUACUGGAAUUUAAAUUGGGGGAUAUUCCAUGUCUACCGGGAUCAAUCGUUUCGGCAGUUGGACGAAGCUAUGGCGACCAAGACAUGGCCGAUUCCGACGCUCCAUGGCCGCUGCUACGCCACGACGCCCCCGCCAUUGCCUGGUAUCGAUCGUUUCUCCAAUCGAUCCAUUUCUCCCCGCCCUGAUCGAUUUUCUCUCUCGCUUUUCGCGCGCAAAGCUCUUUGGCGGCGGAGAUCGAGAGCAACACAUGCCCCAUUUGCUUCGAGCUCAUGAAAUCGCCCACGUACUCGCCCAUCCUGCUCUACCCCUGCGGCCACACCUUCUGCGCAAAGGUUUGCACCAAUCGGAUCAUCAAUGGCGAUCUUCUCGUUCCUCGUCUUGGGCAGUGCCUUGAGAUCCACACGGUGACGAACCGCAAGAAGACGUGCCCGUAUUGCCGGCAGAGAAUCGUCUCGCAGGCGCUCAACCUGUCGCUGCAGAAGCUCAUCAAUAACUUCGUCGCGCUGCAGAAGAAUCCCGCCCCGGCCCACCAAAGUUUUGAUCACGGUGCUCAAUCGCAGUAUGGCGAGAAGCUGCGGCAAGCUGAGACUCGCAGCAGGAUCUUGCAGUGCGCUCUGGCCAACAGCGUCGAAGCCAAGGCCGUGAGACGAUGCUUGCUCCAGGGCCUCCGUGCUCUUUCUUUUUGACUCUUCUUUCGCUUUCUUCUCCAGAAGCUCGCCAGAGACAUUGCCGACGCGCAGAGAAAGGUGGUGCAGCUGGAAAGCCGAGAGCAAGAGACAAAAGUUCGUCUUGAGAAGGUACUUCGAAGGAAAAAAAAAAAAAAGAAAAAGAAGCGAAAGAUGAGAGUAGCGAAAAUACCUCCAGGUGAAUCUCGAGUAUCACCGGGUGCUGUCCGAGAUCCGAGAGAACCAAGACAAUCUAGCGACGCUCCAGAAAUACCAAGACGAGGAGACUGCCAAAGUGAAUCUCAUCCAGGAAACGCUCAAGAACCUCCGCAAGGUACCUGGAAAAAAAAAACGAGUGAGAAAACGAAGAUCUUUCCAUGAAGCAAUUACCAGUAUGAUAUCCCAACACUCUUUGCGUGUUUGACGAUUUCCAGGAAUGCGAAAAGCUUAAGCUGUUUAUAUCAGUGUGACCGGCACCGGCACCGCCAACGUAUCAAUAGAAAUGUCGUGAAGAGAAGAAAAGAAUUUUCAUUUUUUGCCCCCCAUGGCAGCUGCGAUGUACAGACCCUUGUCUAAAGUUUUUCUCGAUUCAAUGCAAGCCUUGCCUUUCGUGUUGCUAAUAAAACAAAGACCAAACGAAAUAAUCAAAACAGAGAAACUAAAUCCAUGCUUUCUUAGUACCUGCCAUUCAAACCGCGUGACUAGUGAUGUCUCCAAAAACAAAAGCCACAGUCCCAUCCCUUUACCUAUUAGGUGAAAAUUCUCUAUAACAGUCAAGAUAAUGUUAGAACGACAAACCACAGGAAAGGAUUCUUCUCUCAGUCUCUCGGUCCAGGAGUAUCUCCUCAUGGAAGACGCGGUAGCUCCACAAGCACAAGCUUCCCCGCCACUGCCACCACAGGUCUUGGUGUUAAUCAAGGAAGAGUCUCUUACUGCCUCACCUCACCACGAGAACGAGAGACGCCCGAAAGAGAGCGCCGAAAGUUCUUCCCCCGUUGUUGUAAUUAUCACUGUCCAAGAGCAGCAGCCGUCGUGUUCCUACGAUUCCUCCAAGCCCCAAGAGAUAGCCACAGCAGCAAGCUCGGCCCAGCAGCAGCAACAUCACGAACUGGUGUGUAGAGUCUG